AUGGCUUCGGUCGUCCCUGCAUCGCUGCCAAGGCCUGUUGCACUGCCUCCUGGCGCACCUCUAAACACGUACACUCCAUUGACUGGUAACGGUGCACCAGGUGGAAGAUAACUUGCACUUUGCAUUGAAAUAAAUGAACCUUUCUAUCGACGCUUCCGAACGAAGCGAGUUUUUCUCCCGGUCAUGUGGAAUGACAUUUUAUUCGGGAUAGAAGAGUGGGAUAUAUGCGGAGCAAGGUAUUGAGCUUUGUAUAAUUUAUUUAAAGAACAGCUAGAAAAAUGAAAAUUUUACAAAUCAAAAUUU
rnacentral:lncRNA from 1 species